rnacentral:misc_RNA from 1 species
UCCGAGUUGACCCCGGCAGUCUCCUAUGAGUCCCCACCAUCACGUGCUGGCAACAUAGAACGAGGGUUGCGCUCGUUGCGGGACUUAACCCAACAUCUCACGACACGAGCUGACGACAACCAUGCACCACCUGUGUACCGACCUUGCGGGGAGCACAUCUCUGCACUUUUCCGGCACAUGUCAAGCCUUGGUAAGGUUCUUCGCGUUGCAUCGAAUUAAUCCGCAUGCUCCGCCGCUUGUGCGGGCCCCCGUCAAUUCCUUUGAGUUUCAACCUUGCGAUUGUACUUCCCAGGUGGAGCACUUAAUGCGUUAGCGUCGGCACUGCGGGGGUCAAUACCCACAACACCUAGUGCUCAUCGUUUACGGCGUGGACUAC